rnacentral:rRNA from 1 species
AAAUCCGGUUCACUUUAACACUGAGGCGUGACGACGAGGCACUACGGUGCUGAAGCAACAAAUGCCCUGCUUCCAGGAAAAGCCUCUAAGCAUCAGGUAACAUCAAAUCGUACCCCAAACCGACACAGGUGGUCAGGUAGAGAAUACCAAGGCGCUUGAGAGAACUCGGGUGAAGGAACUAGGCAAAAUGGUGCCGUAACUUCGGGAGAAGGCACGCUGACACGUAGGUGAAGUGAUUUACUCAUGGAGCUGAAGUCAGUCGAAGAUACCAGCUGGCUGCAACUGUUUAUUAAAAACACAGCACUGUGCAAACACGAAAGUGGACGUAUACGGUGUGACGCCUGCCCGGUGCCGGAAGGUUAAUUGAUGGGGUCAGCGCAAGCGAAGCUCCUGAUCGAAGCCCCGGUAAACGGCGGCCGUAACUAUAACGGUCCUAAGGUAGCGAAAUUCCUUGUCGGGUAAGUUCCGACCUGCACGAAUGGCGUAAUGAUGGCCAGGCUGUCUCCACCCGAGACUCAGUGAAAUUGAACUCGCUGUGAAGAUGCAGUGUACCCGCGGCAAGACGGAAAGACCCCGUGAACCUUUACUAUAGCUUGACACUGAACAUUGAGCCUUGAUGUGUAGGAUAGGUGGGAGGCUUUGAAGUGUGGACGCCAGUCUGCAUGGAGCCGACCUUGAAAUACCACCCUUUAAUGUUUGAUGUUCUAACGUGGACCCGUUACCCGGGUUGCGGACAGUGUCUGGUGGGUAGUUUGACUGGGGCGGUCUCCUCCUAAAGAGUAACGGAGGAGCACGAAGGUUGGCUAAUCCUGGUCGGACAUCAGGAGGUUAGUGCAAUGGCAUAAGCCAGCUUGACUGCGAGCGUGACGGCGCGAGCAGGUGCGAAAGCAGGUCAUAGUGAUCCGGUGGUUCUGAAUGGAAGGGCCAUCGCUCAACGGAUAAAAGGUACUCCGGGGAUAACAGGCUGAUACCGCCCAAGAGUUCAUAUCGACGGCGGUGUUUGGCACCUCGAUGUCGGCUCAUCACAUCCUGGGGCUGAAGUAGGUCCCAAGGGUAUGGCUGUUCGCCAUUUAAAGUGGUACGCGAGCUGGGUUUAGAACGUCGUGAGACAGUUCGGUCCCUAUCUGCCGUGGGCGCUGGAGAACUGAGGGGGGCUGCUCCUAGUACGAGAGGACCGGAGUGGACGCAUCACUGGUGUUCGGGUUGUCAUGCCAAUGGCACUGCCCGGUAGCUAAAUGCGGAAGAGAUAAGUGCUGAAAGCAUCUAAGCACGAAACUUGCCCCGAGAUGAGUUCUCCCUGAGACUUAGAGUCUCCUGAAGGAACGUUGAAGACGACGACGU